rnacentral:rRNA from 1 species
UGGGGAAUCAUAGACAAUGGGGGCAACCCUGAUCUUGCCAUGCCGCGUGAGCGAUGAAGGCCUUAGGGUUGUAAAGCUCUUUCGCCAGGGAAGAUAAUGACGGUACCUGGUAAAGAAACCCCGGCUAACUCCGUGCCAGCAGCCGCGGUAAUACGGAGGGGGUUAGCGUUGUUCGGAAUUACUGGGCGUAAAGCGCACGUAGGCGGGCUGGAAAGUUGGGGGUGAAAUCCCGGGGCUCAACCCCGGAACUGCCUCCAAAACUAUCAGCCUGGAGUUCGAGAGAGGUGAGUGGAAUUCCGAGUGUAGAGGUGAAAUUCGUAGAUAUUCGGAGGAACACCAGUGGCGAAGGCGGCUCACUGGCUCGAGACUGACGCUGAGGUGCGAAAGUGUGGGGAGCAAACAGGAUUAGAUACCCCCGUAGUCC